rnacentral:rRNA from 1 species
AGCGAACGCUGGCGGCAGGCCUAACACAUGCCAGUCGAACGGAUCCUUCGGGAUUAGUGGCGGACGGGUGAGUAACACGUGGGAACGUGCCCUUUGGUUCGGAACAACUCAGGGAAACUUGAGCUAAUACCGGAUGUGCCCUUCGGGGGAAAGAUUUAUCGCCAUUGGAGCGGCCCGCGUCUGAUUAGCUAGUUGGUGAGGUAACGGCCCACCAAGGCGACGAUCAGUAGCUGGUCUGAGAGGAUGAUCAGCCACACUGGGACUGAGACACGGCCCAGACUCCUACGGGAGGCAGCAGUGGGGAAUCUUGCGCAAUGGGCGAAAGCCUGACGCAGCCACGCCGCGUGAAUGAUGAAGGUCUUAGGAUUGUAAAAUUCUUUCAGCGGGGACGAUAAUGACGGUACCCGCAGAAGAAGCUCCGGCUAACUUCGUG